rnacentral:lncRNA from 1 species
AUUUGAUCAAGAAAUUACCAAUAACUCGGGGAAAUAAGGUCACUAAAAGUAAAAAUCAGUGUAGGGCUUCACUUUUGUGUUGCUCCUCGCUAUAACAAUGACUUUUAUGUUAAAACUGAGGAUGUUCUGUCCACUUUCACAUCACACCACAGACGGAACCGUGUUUCUUACCGGAGCACGCCUGCAGGGAAACUAGGUCAAUGUGUGCGAAGGGAAAAGAAAGGCACCGAGGAAGAGAUGGCACACUUUUCCGCCUCAAGUCAUCUCAGUGAUGGAUUACUUCAUUUAGAAGUGAGGAAAGGCGAAGCCCAAAUAAGUGCGACUCCUGAUGAAGUGGUCACUAAAGUGGGAGGGAGGAGGUGCAGGGAAUCCAGGUGGCCCGUGACGUUCACCGGCAGUAUUGUCCAUCCCAGAGGUCUGUGAGGGUCUAAUGAGGAAUUCCAGACUCAGGACUGGACAUCCAGCUGCAGACUCCCCUGUCUCCCAGUGCCUUUUGUUCUGGGGACCCCGACGUAGCCUUGAAUGCAGGUCACUGCAGGUUACUGACAAAGCUUGGUGAAAGGGGCGUUUUGUGAGCAUGUCUGAAAGAAGUGCAUACAAUUAAAAAUAGCCUGCCCUCCUGUCAAUGUAUCGCCAUUAAAAACAGCUGGGUUGGGCUUCUGCCUGCAUUCAGCCACGUGAAAGUUGAUUCUCUCAUUGUGCGCCUAUCUUGUCACAACUCCCCCUUUACUGCCAUCCUUUGUUGGCUGCUUUGUGCAAGCACCAUCACGGAGGCAAAGUCAGCCUCAUAAAAAGAGUUCAUUUUGGAUUCACUGGCCUCCGAUGAACAGUGGGAACUUUCUUUAUUGUGCCUUCAUCCAUAAAUCGCUGCUAACUCACUGGGCCCUGUCAGUCUGUCUCAAAAGAUUCUUUAUGGGGCAUUUCCUACUUCUUCCCUUGGAUGCGUUUUGUAGGUGAUCGUGAAGCUCAAGUUCCUAGGACGGUGCACGGCGGAUGCUCCGUGCAUUUAUUUGAUUGCAAUAACAGGGGAAAGAAUAGAAAUGCCUUUUUAUUUUUGAUGGCGGGAAUAUAUUUCAAUUAAUCAAACUUAAUUAAUCUCACCUGGCUGCCAGAUGAUCGUGCAGGCCCGUGAGAGUGUUUUCAUUUUGCUGUCAGUUAUGACACAUUGGAGCUAUCAUUGGCUUUAGGAUCAGUCCUCUGAGCCUACAGGUAAAAGUAAACACACAGGAUCCCACCCAUGGAGCAGCUGUCAGUGGCUUCAAUGAAUCAGCUCUACCUGUGCAACCAGGCACUCUAUGGGUUAAUGGAAGUGGAGGCGGACAGUCUUGUCUGUAU